rnacentral:rRNA from 1 species
AACGACUCUCAGCAACGGAUAUCUUGGCUCUGGCAACGAUGAAGAACGCAGCGAAAUGCGAUACCUAGUGUGAAUUGCAGAAUUCCGCGAAUCAUCGAGUCUUUGAACGCAAGUUGCGCCCGAGGCUUGUCCCGAGGGAAUGCCUGCCUGAGCGUCACCGC